AGCUUGGGCUGCCCGUGGUCCGAAGUCCAUGGAAGUGUCCCUGCCCUGGACCCACAGGAUCUUUAAGGUCCUUUCCACCCCAAAUCACUGUGGGAUGAUUCAAUAAACACCGAGAGCUGGAGGGUGAGGAUGGGGUACCCUGGAUGAGCUGGGAAUGCUGUGGCUGCCUGGAAGAGUCUGCCAAACCCUGGAUCGGCUGGGAUAACCCAGGCCUAGAACCAAGGACGCCGCUGCAGCUUCAGGCCCAAAAAGUGCAAACAACAGCGAAUUGAGGAGAGCAAUCGGGAGGAUGGGGCUGCAUAACCUGGAGCUGGAAUUGGACAAUUAACACCAAUAUGGAAAUGGAUCAAAACGUAUAAAAGUGUGAAAACGUGUGACCUGGAGUCCAACUCGGGUGUAGCCACGGCCAGGCCCUUGCACUGCCCAAGGUGUAUCCUGUGAAGGCCUUUAAUAAAUCCCUGCUUUAUUCCUUGAA